GCAAGAUGCGUAUUAAGAUAUUUUACCACCCCUGCGUUGCCUUCCAACCAAUCAAACGGAAGCUCACUUUCUGUUACAUUUAUCCACCUUCAAAUGAAGUGGACACCAAUGGUGUGGAAAGAGAAGAUAUCAAAUGUUUAUGAAACCUCUGCCUAUUUGCUUUCUCUGGUAUGACUGCAAAACCUACACUAACACCACAUCAGACAAGUAAACGGAAUAAAUUCUACUCACAGAUCGGCGACUACUAAGGUGAGUUGUUGUUUUAAUUGACUCAGAUAAGAUACUAUAUACUUUAUUGGUACAUUCUAGAUGGAAAAGUGUCUUCUGCUUUUUACCCAACUCCUCUGAUAUGACAUACUGUAGAUUAUCUACCAAUACACCAAUAUAUUAAAUAUUAUUUUCUAUAAAAAAUGUGUACUACAAAAAAACUGAACCAAAACCUUAUAGAGAAAAUUCAGGGACAUACAGUACAGGACAGAAGUGAGAAAGUUGUUCUUUGAAAAAAAGAAACGGUCUUUAAAGGUGUUAUUUUUUGGCAUAUCAAUAUGUUGUGUAAAUGUGAAAUUUGAAACCUAUUUCUCAUCUUGUCGUGAUAUUUUUGUGUGAAUCAUACUAUAUGAGUAUAAAUAUUUGGGGUGUAUGCACGCGCGCGCGCGUGUGAGCCUGCCUGCGUGCAUGUUCAAACUGAGUUUGAUAACAUAAAGCCACCUUAUCCAUUUCAACCAGGCCAGUGAUCUCAUGGACAGCAGCCCCCUAAGGAACAUUGGAAGAGGCAAACAUGGCAAAAUCAAGAAACCACGUGGGGGACUUCUUGGAGGAGUUCAGAGAGCAGAUCAUUGCGCAGGUGAGAUUAUCUGGGCCCAUAGUAGACGCUGUGAUCUCACAACAUCUUAUCCCAGAAGAGCUGGCACACAGCGCCCGUGCAGCCCAGACCACACAAGACCAGAUGAGGGCUCUGUUUGAAGCCGUAGAGAGAGAGACACCACAAACCAAACUUGCAUUCCAUCUGAUAUUGAGACGGAAAGAGCCUGAACUCAUGGACAAGCUAGAGCAGAGACAACGAAACAGUAAGAUGACACAGACAGGAUUGGAUCAAAGGUAUGGAGAUACCACAACAUUAGAGGAUAAGACCACACCAAAACUUGGCAUACAGACAAAAAAGGAAUCUCUUAAGAGACGAAGACAAGAAACAAUGCAAGCAAUUGAGGAGAUUGAAAAACUUUGGGAGGGGUCAAGAAGGGAGAGAAAUGAAACUAACUACAUGAAAGCAAAGAUUAAGCAACAACAAGAGGAAAUAGAAAGGCUAAUGGCUGAGAAACAAGAGCAAAACACAAAGAUGGAGCUGAUGAGGAUGGAGAUCCAGAAUGUGAAUGAAAAACUGAAACAGAACAUGGAGGAAAUAAAUAUAGAGAAAGACGGAAUACGACAAAUGUGGGCUGAUGUCCAAACAGAGAAAGACAUUCUGGAGAGAAGAUACAAUGAGACCAUUAACGAGAGACAGAGUUUGGAAUUGAUCAAGUAUGAGACAUUGAGAGCAAAAGAGGAGAUGGAGCACUGCAAGGAAACAACCAAACAAGAGCAGGAGAAAAUGGAACAGAUUAAGGCUGACAUUCAGGGACAGAUAGAGGACAUGGAAAUAAGAAUUGCAGAAACCAAUCAAGUAAAAGAAAAAAUGGAAGCGAUGAAGGCCGAUGUACACAGGGAGCAAGGUCAGCUGGAGACAAAAAGAGAUGACAUUAAAAGACAAAAAGAACAGUUUGAGCAGAUUAAAUGUGAGAUAAACAAAGUAAAAGAAGAGAUGGAUCGAAGGUGGUAUGAAACGGAGAAAGAAGAGCUUGAGCAGAGAGUUAGGAUCCAGCAAGAGAAAGAGGAACUUGCCAACGUAAAAGCUGAGCUGCAGAGAGCUAAAGAGGAGGUGGAUCAAAACAGGGAGAAGACGAAGCAAGAGAAGGACCUGGUCAACAAAAUGAAAGCAGAGAUUCUUCUAGAAAAGGAUUCACUUGAGAAGGACAAACAAGAAACAUUACGAAAACAAAAGGAGUUGGAGCAGAUCAAGUAUGCGAUUCAAAUGGACAAAGAGGAGAUUGAGCAAAACAGAGAGGAAGCAAAGCGAGAGAAUGAUAAGAUGGAACAGAGGGAAGCUGAACUGCAGAGACAAGUGGAAAACAUUGAGAGAAACAUUGAGGAGACAAAGCAAGAAAAUUACAGAAUGGAAAACGUAAAAGCAGAGAUACAGAGAACGAAAGAAGCCCUGGAGAAACAAAAAGAUGACACCAGGCGAGUGAAGGAGGAAAUGGAGAAAAGAAGGUAUGAGACUGUCAAGGAGGAGCUGGAGCAGAGAGCUGAAAUACAGAGACAGAGAGAAGAAGUGGAAAUGCUCAAGUCUGAAAUGCAGAAAGCCAAGGACGUUGAAAAAACAAGAGGAAACCGAGAGAGAGAGGAAGCCAAAAAGUGGAGUGAAGAAGUAAAGCGACAGAGAGAUGGGAUCAAACAAUUGAGAGCUGAAGUUCAGAAGGAAAAAGACAACGUGGAGAGGAAAAAGCAAGAGACAAUGAGAGAGAGACAAGAAUUGGAGAGGAUUCAUUUUGAAACGCUGAGAAUGAAAGAGGAGAAUGAGCAAAGCAGGGAGAUCACAAGAAGAGAAAAGGAGCAAAUGGAGCAGAUGAAAGUUAAUAUACAGAGACAGAUAGAAGAUAUAGAAGAAAAAGUUACAGAGACAAAACAAGCAAAAGACAAAAUGGAAGAAAUGAAAGCAGAGAUACAGAGACAACGUGAAGAUUUGGAGAGUAGAAGGGAAAAGACAGAGAAAGAGAGAGAGCAUUAUGAAGAGGUUAAGUGUGAGAUAAUUCAAUUGAAAGAGGAAAUGGAAAGGAAAUGGUGUGAAACAGAGAAAGACGAGGUGGAACAGAGAGCAAGAGCGCAGCAAGAGACGGAAACACUUGAAAGGUUGAAGGAGGAAAAACAGAAAGUGCGAGAGGAAAUAGAAAGAAACAAGGUGGAAACGCAACGAGAAAGAGAGAACCUAGAAAAAAUGAAAGCCCGUGUGAAAGACGAGAAGAACAUUGCAGAGAAAAUAUCAGAAGAGGCCAAGAUAAAGAAUGAGGACUUAACGGAAAUGGAGCGUAACCUUCAGGAAGAAAGGGAAGAGAUCGAGAGGAGCAAGCAAGUCACAAAGCAAGAGAAGGAAGAGAUCGUAGAGAUGAAGGCUGAACUCCAAAGACAAAUGACAGAAAUAGAGAACCGUGUGAAGGAGACAAACAGAGCAAAAUAUGAGGUGGAUCAGGCAAAGCUGGUCGUACAAAAAGUGGAGUCCCAGCUGAAAAAGCAAAGAGACGAGGCUGGAAGAACAAAAGAGGAAAUUGAGAAACAGAGAUAUGAAGCAGUGAAAGAAGAGCUUGAGCAACGAGCUGAAAUCCAACGAGAAAGAGAAAUGUUGGAGAAAGUAAGAGACGAGAUACGGAGAGCCGAAGAAGACUCCGAAGAAACACAGCUUCAGAGCGAAAGAGGGGACUUACAAAAGAAGAUGAAUGAAACACAGCAAGAGAGGGAGAUGCUUGAGCAAAUUAAAACAGAGGUUUUGUCAGAAAGGGCCAUGUUGAAAAGACAAAUCCAUGAAACCGCAAGAGAAAGAGAGGACUUGGAAUUGCUUCGGUGUGAGACCCUGAAGAAAAAGCUGGAGCUUGAGAAAAAGAAGGAUGAAGCUGUCAAGGAAGAGCUUGAACUGAGAGCUGAAAUACAGAGAGAUAGAGAAGAGAUAGAGAGAACCAAGAAGAAAAUAGAGAGGGAGUUAAAACAAGGCAGGGAUGCCACAAGUCUAGAGAGAGGCGAAGUGGAACGGAUGAAGGUUGAAGUACAGAACCAGCAUGAGGAAAUGACUAGAUCCAUUGAGAGGACAAGGCAAGCCAGAGACGUGAUGGAACAGAUGAAGGAUGAAAUUCAGAGAGAAAAACAACUUUUGGAGAGAAUAAGGGAAGAAACAAUAAGAGAGAAAGAACCCUAUGAAACGGUCAAGGAUGAGCUAAACAGAGUAAAAGAAGAGAUGGAAAAACUCUGGGACGAGGUACAGAGGGACGAGCAGGAAGAGAGAGCCAAACUGCAUCAAGAAAAUGUGGAGCUGAAUAAGAGAAUGGAGGAAAUUAAGACAGAGAUUAACCAGAUAGAAACAAUUAAAUUUGACCUAGAGAGACAGAGAGAUGAGAUUGAAGCAAGGAUGGAGAAGACAAAGAGAGAGAUGGACAAGCUGGAACAAACAAAGGCUGAAAUACAAAGACAGAAAGAGGACAUUGAAAACAAGAUGACAGAAACAAAGAGUGAGAAAGAGGAGAUGGAAAAGAUCAAAUCUGAGAUACAGAAGCAGAAAGAGGACAUUGAAAAAAAAAUGCAACAAGCAGAGACAGAAAUGGAUGAGCUGAAAAGUGUGAGGGAAGAUAUUCAGAGGCAGAGACAAGAGGUUGAGAACAUGAUGCAGAAGGCCAAGAGAGAGAUUGGAGAGAUGGAACUAGUGAAGACUGAGAUGCAAAGGAAGAAAAAGGACCUUGAACAGAUGAUGAGAAAGACUAAGAGAAAAAAGGAAGAAAUGGAAAAGAUGAAGGAUGAAAUAGAGAGAGCGGAAGAAGAGAUGGAACAAAGAAGGGAAGAGACCAAAAGGGAGAGAGAUGCAAUUGAACAGGCGAAGGCUGAAAUAGAAAGAGCAAAAGAGGAACUGGAGAUUCGUCUGGAAGAGGGCUUUAGAGAUAUUGAUGAGAAGGAACAGAUGAACGCUGAGAUACAGAGAUUAAUCCAAGAGGUAGAGCGAACCAGAGAAAUGGUACGACAAACAAAAGUGGCAAUGGAAAACAGGAUGGAAGAAAGCAAUAUGGAGAUGUGUGACAAAGACAGAGUGAAUGCUGUAAUCCAGAGGUUGAUUCUAGAGGUGGAACAAACCAGAGAGGUGUUAAGAAGGGUGAAAGAAGAAAUGGAACUGAGCAAGGGGGAGUUAAAAGGGGAAAAGGACAAAAUCAGACUGAUGAAGACGGAGACACAAAAAAGAAAAAAAGAGCUGGAGCAAAGGAUGGAGAAGAUCAUGCGAGAGAGGGAUGAGUUAGAACUGGUGAAGUCAAAGAUACAGAGACAACGGGAAGAGCUGAAACAGAAGAUGGAAGAUGGAAAGACUGAGAGUGAAAAGAUGGAACAGAUGAAAGAUGAAAUUGAGAAACAGAGAUGUGAACAACGAGCUGAAAUCCAAAGAGAAAGAGAAAUGUUGGAGAAAGUAAGAGACGAGAUACGGAGAGCCGAAGACGAUUCCGAAGAAAUACAGUUUCAGAGCGAAAAAGGGGACUUACAAAAGAAGAUGGAUGAAACAAAGCAAGAGAGGGAGAUGCUUGAGCAAAUUAAAACAGAGGUUUUGUCAGAAAGGGCCAUGUUGAAAAGACAAAUCCAUGAAACCACAAGAGAAAGAGAGGACUUGGAAUUGCUUCGGUGUGAAACCCUGAAGAAAAAGCUGGAGCUUGAGAAAAAGCAGGAGGAAGCUGUCAAGGAAGAGCUUGAACUGAGAGCUGAAAUACAGAGAGAUAGAGAAGAGAUAGAGAGAACCAAGAAGAAAAUAGAGAGGGAGUUAAAACAAGGCAGGGAUGCCACAAGUCUAGAGAGAGGCGAAGUGGAACGGAUGAAGGUUGAAGUACAGAACCAGCAUGAGGAAAUGACUAGAUCCAUUGAGAGGACAAGGCAAGCCAGAGACGUGAUGGAACAGAUGAAGGAUGAAAUUCAGAGAGAAAAACAACUUUUGGAGAGAAUAAGGGAAGAAACAAUAAGAGAGAAAGAACCCUAUGAAACGGUCAAGGAUGAGCUAAGCAGAGUAAAAGAAGAGAUGGAAAAACUCUGGGACGAGGUACAGAGGGACGAGCAGGAAGAGAGAGCCAAACUGCAUCGAGAUAAUGUGGAGCUGAAUAAGAGAAUGGAGGAAAUUAAGACAGAGAUUAACCAGAUAGAAACAAUUAAAUUUGACCUAGAGAGAAAGAGAGAUGAGAUUGAAGCAAGGAUGGAGAAGACAAUGAGAGAGAUGGACAAGCUGGAACAAACAAAGGCUGAAAUACAAAGACAGAAAGAGGACAUUGAAAACAAGAUGACAGAAACAAAGAGUGAGAAAGAGGAGAUGGAAAGGAUCAAAUCUGAGAUACAGAAGCAGAAAGAGGAAAUUGAAAACAAAAUGCAACAAGCAGAGACAGAAAUGGAUGAGCUGAAAAGUGUGAGGGAAGAUAUUCAGAGGCAGAGACAAGAGGUCGAGAACAUGAUGCAGAAGACCAAGAGAGAGAUUGGAGAGAUGGAACUAGUGAAGACUGAGAUGCAAAGGAAGAAAAAGGACCUUGAACAGAUGAUGAGAAAGACUAAGAGAAAAAGGGAAGAAAUGGAAAAGAUGAAGGAUGAAAUAGAGAGAGCGGAAGAAGAGAUGGAACAAAGAAGGGAAGAGACCAAAAGGGAGAGAGAUGCAAUUGAACAGGCGAAGGCUGAAAUAGAAAGAGCAAAAGAGGAACUGGAGAUUCGUCUGGAAGAGGGCUUUAGAGAUAUUGAUGAGAAGGAACAGAUGAACGCUGAGAUACAGAGAUUAAUCCAAGAGGUAGAGCGAACCAGAGAAAUGGUACGACAAACAAAAGUGGCAAUGGAAAACAGGAUGGAAGAAAGCAAUAUGGAGAUGGGUGACAAAGACAGAGUGAAUGCUGUAAUCCAGAGGUUGAUUCUAGAGGUGGAACAAACCAGAGAGGUGUUAAGAAGGGUGAAAGAAGAAAUGGAACUGAGCAAGGGGGAGUUAAAAGGGGAAAAGGACAAAAUCAGACUGAUGAAGACGGAGACACAAAAAAGAAAAAAAGAACUGCAGCAAAGGAUGGAGAAGAUCAUGCGAGAGAGGGAUGAGUUAGAACUGGUGAAGUCAAAGAUACAGAGACAACGGGAAGAGCUGAAACAGAAGAUGGAAGAUGGAAAGACUGAGAGUGAAAAGAUGGAACAGAUGAAAGAUGAAAUACAGAGAGCGGUUGCAGAGAUAGACCUGGCAAGGGAGGAGAUACAAAGGGAAAAAAGGAAGAUUAAAGAGGACAAUGCAAGGGAAGAGAAGGAUAUGAUGGAGUCUAUGAAAGCUGAGCUUGACAGACAGAAAGAGGGAAAAAACAGAAGGAAAAAAGAAAUGCCAAUGAUGAAGACCACGGUCCAGAGGCCACAGGAUGAAACAGAGAAAGCCUACCUUGGAGAUACGACAACUGAGAUACCAUUUGAGUCACAAGAGCUAAGAACCGCCAUUGAAAAAGAAAGAAGAGACUUGGAACGCAGAGAGAAAAUGAUUAUGAGAGAGAAGUAUGACCUGGAAAAGUCAAAAGCCGAGUUUGAGAAGGAAAAGGCGGGGAUGGAGAACAUGAUCACAAAACAACGAGAGGAGAGCAGACAAAUGAUUGAGGACAUAGAAAAGAAAAAAGAAAAUCUCGAGCAAAUGGAUGCAGAGAUGCAAAGGAAAAGACAGGUCAUCGUAAGGGAAAUGCAAUAUAAAACACAAAAGAUGCAGGAUUUAAAAAAAGCAAAAGAUAAAUUUAAACAAACGCAAGUUAAAUUUAGCAAAGAGAAAAUUGAAAUGGGAAACAUCAAAAAGGCUACCUUGGCGGAAAGAAAUAAACUAGCAGUAGAGCAAGCUUACAUAGAGAAACGUAAGGAGGAGAUGGAAGCCAUCCUGGAAACGACAAAGAAGGAGAAUGAAGAUCUGCUGAACUUAAAAGCUCAAAUAGAGGGAUGGAAAGAAGACAAAGACGAACGGGGUGAACGCCUGAACAGGGAGAGAAAGGAACUUGAAUAUCUGAAAAGUAAGAUUCAAAAAGAAAAAGAGGAUACGAUAAGAAACAGGAACAUUUCGGAAAAAGAGAAAAAGGACUUGGAGCUGAUGAGAUCUGAAAUGCAGAAAGAAAAGGGGAAGAUGGAACAAGAGAAGCUUAAGGUACAAGUUGAGAGACAAAAGCUUGAACAAAUGAAACUGGAGUUACAGAGAAAGUCCAACGACCUAGAUAUGAUCAUAGAAGACACAAAGAGGGAGAAAGUCAGUGCAUCACAAAUUCCUGUCCAAAUACAACAACAAAAUAACCAAAUUGAUUGUUUUGUGGAAGAGACAAAGAGGAGUAAAAUCGAAGAAGAAUUGAUGAGCGCUGAAAUAAAAAGACAGAAAGAGGAGAUAGACAGCAAACAAGACAUUCUAUCAAAUGAGAGAGAAGAUCUGAAUAAACUCAGAACAGAGGUAAACAAUCAGAGAGAAGAGAUUGAAAAUAUCACGCAAGAGCAAAUUAAAGAAACAUUUCUAAUUAAUCAGACAAAGACAGAGAUGGAAAAAGAGAGAUGUGAGAUGGACAGAAUAAAGAAAAUGAUAGAGCAGAAUAUGGAUGAGCUAGAGCAGAGAAAGUGUGAGAUGAGAAAAGUAGAAAACAUAAUUAUCGAACUGAGAAAAGAAGAAGAGAGUAUAACGAAUGAGAUGAACAGGAUGAGAAAGAACACAGAGCAGAAAAGUUUUGAAAUGCAGAGACGGUCUGAAGACAUGAAUCAGCUAAUGGAUGAGACAAGACGGGAGAGGGGGAAGGUUGAAGAACUGGCUAUCCAAACUCAAAAACAAAGAGAAGAAAUGGUGGGUUUUAUGGAAAAGAACAAACAAAAGCAGAACGAACUGGAACUCAUGACUGACAAGAUUGAAAGAGAGAAACAAGACAUCGAAGACAGUCGGGAUGUGCUAACAAAGGAGAGAGAGGAGCUGGAACAAAUGAGGAGUGAGAUACAGCAACAGAGAGAGGAGACAGAAUCUCACAUGGAAGACCAAAGGAAAGAGAAAGAACAUUUGGAACAAAUGAUGACGGACAUGAAAAAACAGUUGCUAGAGGUGGACAAUGACAAGGAAAUGAUACAAAGCUCAAUGGGUGAACUGAGAGUGAAAGAGGCAGAAAUGGUGAGAGAAAAAGACAACAUGGAUAACAAGAUGGCUAGGCUCAAAGAGGAAGAGGAUAGAAUGCGGGAAGAAAUAGGAAGGAAGAUGGACAUCUUAAAGCAGGAAAGUUGUGAAAUCAAAAGACUUAGAGAUGAAAUUGACAGUGAAAAGGACCAGCUGAAUGCAAAAUUGCUUGAGUUGGAAAAAAUGCGUGAAGAACUAGAUAGAGAGAAGAAGGAAGUGAAAGACAGGAAGGAUGAAACACUGAAAGAGAAAGAUCAGUUGGAAGAGAGGCGAGGUAAGAUAAGUAAGGAGAAAGAGGAAUUGGAUAUCAGUCUUGAACUGAUGAAAAGACAAAGGGAAGACUUGAUGAGCUUGAAGGCUGAAGCAGAAGUACAGACCGAGCCUAUGGAAACAGACUGGAAGGAAAAGCUCACGAGGGAAAGACAACAACUUGAAGAUGUAAAGGAGGAGAUACAGAAGGAAAAAGAAGCCUUUGAGAGAAAGAAGGGAUUGACCAUGAAAGAAAGAGAUGAGUUUGAUCUGAUGAAGUCUGAAACCCAGGGACAAUUGGAGGAAAUAGAACAAAACAAACAAGACAUUCGUGUGGAGAAGGAAAAUCUGGAUCAGAUCAAAGCUGAGUUAGAAAGACGGUCUGAAGACAUCAAUCAGCUCAUGGAUGAGACAAGACGGGAGAGGGGGAAGGUUGAAGAACUGGCUAUCCAAACUCAAAAACAAAGAGAAGAAAUGGUGGGUUUUAUGGAAAAGAACAAACAAAAGCAGAACGAACUGGAACUCAUGACUGACAAGAUUGAAAGAGAGAAACAAGACAUCGAAGACAGUCGGGAUGUGCUAACAAAGGAGAGAGAGGAGCUGGAACAAAUGAGGAGUGAGAUACAGCAACAGAGAGAGGAGACAGAAUCUCACAUGGAAGACCAAAGGAAAGAGAAAGAACAUUUGGAACAAAUGACGACGGACAUGAAAAAACAGUUGCUAGAGGUGGACAAUGACAAGGAAAUGAUACAAAGCUCAAUGGGUGAACUGAGAGUGAAAGAGGCAGAAAUGGUGAGAGAAAAAGACAACAUGGAUAACAAGAUGGCUAGGCUCAAAGAGGAAGAGGAUAGAAUGCGGGAAGAAAUAGGAAGGAAGAUGGACAUCUUAAAGCAGGAAAGUUGUGAAAUCAAAAGACUUAGAGAUGAAAUUGACAGUGAAAAGGACCAGCUGAAUGCAAAAUUGCUUGAGUUGGAAAAAAUGCAUGAAGAACUAGAUAGAGAGAAGAAGGAAGUGAAAGACAGGAAGGAUGAAACACUGAAAGAGAAAGAUCAGUUGGAAGAGAGGCGAGGUAAGAUAAGUAAGGAGAAAGAGGAAUUGGAUAUCAGUCUUGAUCUGAUGAAAAGACAAAGGGAAGACUUGAUGAGCUUGAAGGCUGAAGCAGAAGUACAGACCGAGCCUAUGGAAACAGACUGGAAGGAAAAGCUCACGAGGGAAAGACAACAACUUGAAGAUGUAAAGGAGGAGAUACAGAAGGAAAAAGAAGCCUUUGAGAGAAAGAAGGGAUUGACCGUGAAAGAAAGAGAUGAGUUUGAUCUGAUGAAGUCUGAAACCCAGGGACAAUUGGAGGAAAUAGAACCAAACAAACAAGACAUUCGUGAGGAGAUACAGAAGGAAAAAGAAGCCCUUGAGAGAAAGAAGGGAUUGACCAUGAAAGAAAGAGAUGAGUUUGAUCUGAUGAAGUCUGAAACCCAGGGACAAUUGGAGGAAAUAGAACAAAACAAACAAGACAUUCGUGUGGAGAAGGAAAAGCUGGAUCAGAUCAAAGCUGAGUUAGAAAGACGGUCUGAAGACAUCAAUCAGCUCAUGGAUGAGACAAGACGGGAGAGGGGGAAGGUUGAAGAACUGGCUAUCCAAACUCAAAAACAAAGAGAAGAAAUGGUGGGUUUUAUGGAAAAGAACAAACAAAAGCAGAACGAACUGGAACUCAUGACUGACAAGAUUGAAAGAGAGAAACAAGACAUCAAAGACAGUCGGGAUGUGCUAACAAAGGAGAGAGAGGAGCUGGAACAAAUGAGGAGUGAGAUACAGCAACAGAGAGAGGAGACAGAAUCUCACAUGGAAGACCAAAGGAAAGAGAAAGAACAUUUGGAACAAAUGACGACGGACAUGAAAAAACAGUUGCUAGAGGUGGACAAUGACAAGGAAAUGAUACAAAGCUCAAUGGGUGAACUGAGAGUGAAAGAGGCAGAAAUGGUGAGAGAAAAAGACAACAUGGAUAACAAGAUGGCUAGGCUCAAAGAGGAAGAGGAUAGAAUGCGGGAAGAAAUAGGAAGGAAGAUGGACAUCUUAAAGCAGGAAAGUUGUGAAAUCAAAAGACUUAGAGAUGAAAUUGACAGUGAAAAGGACCAGCUGAAUGCAAAAUUGCUUGAGUUGGAAAAAAUGCAUGAAGAACUAGAUAGAGAGAAGAAGGAAGUGAAAGACAGGAAGGAUGAAACANNNNNNNNNNUGACAAGAUUGAAAGAGAGAAACAAGACAUCGAAGACAGUCGGGAUGUGCUAACAAAGGAGAGAGAGGAGCUGGAACAAAUGAGGAGUGAGAUACAGCAACAGAGAGAGGAGACAGAAUCUCACAUGGAAGACCAAAGGAAAGAGAAAGAACAUUUGGAACAAAUGACGACGGACAUGAAAAAACAGUUGCUAGAGGUGGACAAUGACAAGGAAAUGAUACAAAGCUCAAUGGGUGAACUGAGAGUGAAAGAGGCAGAAAUGGUGAGAGAAAAAGACAACAUGGAUAACAAGAUGGCUAGGCUCAAUGAGGAAGAGGAUAGAAAGCGGGAAGAAAUAGGAAGGAAAAUGGACAUCUUAAAGCAGGAAAGUUGUGAAAUCACAAGACUUAGAGAUGAAAUUGACAGUGAAAAGGACCAGCUGAAUGCAAAAUGGCUUGAGUUGGAAAAAAUGCAUGAAGAACUAGAUAGAGAGAAGAAGGAAGUGAAAGACAGGAAGGAUGAAACACUGAAAGAGAAAGAUCAGUUGGAAGAGAGGCGAGGUAAGAUAAGUAAGGAGAAAGAGGAAUUGGAUAUCAGUCUUGAACUGAUGAAAAGACAAAGGGAAGACUUGAUGAGCUUGAAGGCUGAAGCAGAAGUACAGACCAAGCCUAUGGAAACAGACUGGAAGGAAAAGCUCACGAGGGAAAGACAACAACUUGAAGAUGUAAAGGAGGAGAUACAGAAGGAAAAAGAAGCCUUUGAGAGAAAGAAGGGAUUGACCAUGAAAGAAAGAGAUGAGUUUGAUCUGAUGAAGUCUGAAACCCAGGGACAAUUGGAGGAAAUAGAACAAAACAAACAAGACAUUUGUGUGGAGAAGGAAAAGCUGGAUCAGAUCAAAGCUGAGUUAGAAAGACGGUCUGAAGACAUCAAUCAGCUCAUGGAUGAGACAAGACGGGAGAGGGGGAAGGUUGAAGAACUGGCUAUCCAAACUCAAAAACAAAGAGAAGAAAUGGUGGGUUUUAUGGAAAAGAACAAACAAAAGCAGAACGAACUGGAACUCAUGACUGACAAGAUUGAAAGAGAGAAACAAGACAUCGAAGACAGUCGGGAUGUGCUAACAAAGGANNNNNNNNNNNNNNNNNNNNNNNNNNNNNNNNNNNNNNNNNNNNNNNNNNNNNNNNNNNNNNNNNNNNNNNNNNNNNNNNNNNNNNNNNNNNNNNNNNNNGAGAGAGAGAGAGAGAGAGAGAGAGAGAGUACAAACAGCAUACGUUAGCAAAGAUGGGCUAUUGGGCUACCAAGUGGAUCUAAGCUAAGAGCUUAUGUGUUAGGUUGACCAUGGUGUUGUGGCAAACCCACUAACCCCAUGAAGGGGUUUUUCCGGCCACCAUUUUGAUGGCGGUUUGUAAAAUGAUCUUGGAUUUUUCUGUCUGGAUGUGCAUGGCCAGUCAGCAAACACGGCAUUAGGCUAAAUGGGAUUGGCUCAAGGGUUCAGACAUGGUUUGAGAUGCAUUUGGAAAUGGUUUCAGGGUUCCGUUUCCAAGUUGAGAAAGAAGGUGAAGCAUAGAAUUAGAGGUAUAUCUGCAGUGUUAAUAGUAGAAGCAAGUAAUACCAUAUUAAUAGUAAUAACGUAUGUUGUUACCUCCAUAGAAAGGUGAGGGAAAGGUAUGUUACUGAAGUCCCGUUGAAAUGGAUGGUUUCGUCAGGAAUAAGUCUGCAAAACGUUUCCUUUUUCAGGUACUUGAGUGUAUUGGGACCUGCCAUUACCCCGUUAGCGCCGUAGGCUUUGACAUUGGUCGCAGCCAGAACAAAUCAUUUCAAAAAUAUAUGUUUUAUUUGGCUUUAAAAUCUCCAGAGUUCUUUUUUGCACAUAAAAAGCUAUCAAAUUCAGAGUGAGUCGGCGCUCUGUCUGGUGAGGGACUGUGAAUGUUUGUAGCUGUGUUGGUACUUGCGGUCAUGCUACCAAGUAUACUGUAUGUUUUGACUAUCCAGGCAGAGUUUUUAAUUCACCAGAUUCAGAUUCAUCAUUGUAUUUUAACACAACCAAAGGUUGGUAUUUACUUUCGUUACAGCAUGGUAAGAUAACUCUGAUAAAGUGCUCAACAAUGACAUACUAGACAAAAAUCUAUGGACUAACCACUGGGCACUGACAUCAUUUCAACGUCUAUUCCACGUUAGCUCAACGGUUCAAUUGCAGCAUCUAACAGGCAGUUUUCUGGUCCAGCUCCCUAACCACUCCAC
rnacentral:lncRNA from 13 species